GUGAGGAAUUUUCCGCAAUGGGCGAAAGCCUGACGGAGCAAUGCCGCGUGAAGGAUGAAGGCCUAUGGGUUGUAAACUUCUUUUCUUAGAGAAGAAUAUUGACGGUAUCUGAGGAAUAAGCAUCGGCUAACUUCGUGCCAGCAGCCGCGGUAAUACGAAGGUCCCAAGCGUUGUUCGGAAUCACUGGGCGUAAAGGGAGCGUAGGCGGCGUGGUAAGUCAGAUGUGAAAUCCCGGGGCUCAACCCCGGAACUGCAUCCGAUACUGCCAUGCUUGAGGGUUGGAGAGGUAGCUGGAAUUCUCGGUGUAGCAGUGAAAUGCGUGGAUAUCGAGAGGAACACUCGUGGCGAAGGCGAGCUACUGGACAACAUCUGACGCUGAGGCUCGAAGGCCAGGGGAGCAAAAGGGAUUAGAAACCCGGGUAGUCC
rnacentral:rRNA from 1 species